AAUAUUGGACAAGGGGCGAGAGCCUGAUCCAGCAAGGCCGCGUGUGUGAAGAUUGUCUACGGCUUGUAAAGCACUUUAAGUUGGGAGGUAGGGUUGUAGGCUAAGACCCUGCAAUUUUGACGAUACCAAUAGAAUAAGCACCGGCUAACUCCGUGUCAGAAGCGGCGGUAAUACGAAGGGUGCAAGCGUUAAUCGGAAUUCCUGGGCGUAAAGCGCGCGUAGGUGGUUCGUUAAGUUGGAAGUGAAAGCCCCGGGCUUAACCUGGGAAUUGCUUUCAAAACUGACGAGCUAGAGUACGGUAGAGGGUAGUGGAAUUUCCUGUGUAGCGGUGAAAUGCGUAGAUAUAGGAAGGAACAUCAGUGGCGAAGGCGACUACCUGGACUGAUACUGACACUGAGGUGCGAAAGCGUGGGGAGCAAACAGG
rnacentral:rRNA from 1 species